AAGAAAACAAGACACACAGAUGCGAAAAGAACCAGUCAGAUGCAAAGGAGCUGGUUAAAUGAUAACCCUGACAGCAGCAAGUGCUCCUCAAAGUUCCACGUCAUCAGAAGAAGUGGGAAGAUGGUGCAAAGGAAGAACUCUGGUCUGAACCCUCAUGUAUCCUCCUUCAUUAAAGGGAUAGUUCACCCAAAAAAUUAAUUCACCCAUUAAUAACUCACCCUCAUGUCGUUCCAAACCC